CGCUUUGGCUAGGAAAAGGCCGUCACGUGAUCUAGCGCGUAUUUGGGAGGUGCGUGGGUCGCACCCGUCGUGUAGGCUCACGUAUCCCAUAACUCACUGAAAACUAUCCAGUUCGCCUGACGCUACAGUAGCCUUCGUAAUGCGGGGGUCACAGGUUCGAGUCCUGUAAGCGGCACCA
rnacentral:tRNA from 1 species